AGCCAAGUAGCCUUACAAGUUGCCACCAUUAUGAAUUAGUAACAUUUUUUUCUUCCUCUUCCAAGUAGUGACAGCUUCUGUGUCUGAAACACUGUCUUAUCAGUGAUAUCUUGGAUAUAAAUAUCCCUUCUCUGUUCUCCCUGUCUCUGGAUUGGGAGCAGGUUUCCUGCCCACUUUGUAUUCUGUGUUAAGGCCUUUUAUUUUGAGAAUAGUUUAUAUUUGUGCUACAAAGAGAAUUAGCGAACAAAUGGCUUUAGUCAUUCAUUCACUCAUAAACCUAUUCAUAAUGUUUCAUUUACUCAUUAAAUUUUUAAAAUAAAUUUAGUACCUGGUCCAUAUUUGGAAUUCAGUUAACUUUUGUGGAAUAAGUGAAUGAAUGGGUGGGGUCCUAGUUGACCAACCUUUGUCUUAGUAGAUUAAGAUUCAUCUACUUAACAGGCAGGAACAAGACAAGAGUUUCAUGAAGAGCCUCAUGAAGCUAUAUAAGUCUGUGAUGGAGAACUGAUGCUAGCAGUGUCAGGAAUAUCACAAAGGGUACCAGUCCAAUGGGGCACAGGGUUACUAUAGUUCUGACAUGAUCCUGCACUUCUCAAGUGUGGAAUUAUGCUUCUAACAAAGCCAAGGACUACAGGAAGAUAUCUGAUGAACUUUAACGUUCCUUUGGGCCUUUUUUAUGAUCAUUUUGAAGAUGCUUCAUUACUGCUACAUAACAUUAAGUAUCAUUAUUGAUUGGUCUGUGCUAUUACCUUACUUGCUAUUAAAUAUUGUAAAUAUCACCCCUGCCACCAUGAGAUCAGCUUUCAGUUCAGAUACCAUUUGGAAAUGGCUCUUCCCAUGAAGAGUUUAUAAUGAUCCUCCGUUCCUCCCAACAUGAUGGAGAGAAAGGCACAAGUGCCCAGUUCAGUGAGAAGUGUUGCUCAGUUGAAAAACAGGCAGGUGUCAUUUCCAGGGCAAUAAAUAUAUAGGUAGCAGUGGUUUUACAAGAUGAAAAUUCCUAUAGACAUCUAUUGCUAAAUGUUGUUCUUGUAUAUGUUUUGGGGAACUGUAUAAGCUGAGAUUGAGAAGUGAGGAUCCAGACACAGAGAAGGGAUCAAUUCCCAAAGAGAAAAGAACAGCAUGGAAAACAGAAACCAGAUGAAGAGGAAUUCAGGAACUAUGCUGAGGCAUGGAAUGUUCUUCUGGGCUACUAUUUCCUUCAAUCAAGUUAAUUUUCAUGCAUUCUUACAACCACGUGGACUCUGAUAUCUACCAGAACACCUGAGAAGACCCUGUCUCCUGGUUUUCUUGCUUUCACCAGCCUUACAAGUAUUUACAGCAUAAAAUAUCUAUGGGAGUUGAUUUGCAGACGCCUACAUUCUCUGCCCUUCUGAAGAGAAAUGAGUGUGCUUACCUCACAAGGUCCAUAUAGCUGCCAAGCAGAGCCAAGGAAACAAUCAACCGAGAGGAAGAUCAGCCUUGAGCUAACUACUGCCAGUCCUCCUCUUUUUGCUGAGGAAGACUGGCCCUGAGCUAACAUCUGUGCCCAUCUUCGUCUGCUUUAUAUGUGGGAAGCCUACCACAGCAUGGCUUUUGCCAAGCGGUGCCAUGUCUGCACCCGGGAUCUGAACCUGCGAACCCCAGGCUGCCAAGAAGCAGAACAUGCAAACUUAACUGCUGUGCCAUGGGGCCGGCCCCGAUGUGCUCCAUUUUUAAGUUGUAAAAUACAAAUAUUAUACAUACUGGGAAUAUAAUAGCUUAAUGGAUUUUCUUAGGAAUAUAGUUUCAUGAAGUGCAUGAAUGGUGUGUAUUGAAUCAGCCUGUCUAGAUAUGGAGACCAGGAAAGCUGAAUCAGCUUCAUUCUAAACCAUCAACAUCUGUGACCUUGGAACAAAUCAAUAGAGUCUAUUCAGCUUGUCUUUGGGAAAUGGAGUUAAUUCAACUUCUAAUUCAAGUCAAUUAAUAUCUAUGGGUCCAUCACGUUGUUCCUGGCUCCAAGGAUACAACAUAUGGUUAGUGUUCUCGUCCUCCAGCAGCCCUCCAUCUAGCUGGGAGACAGAUUUGUACACAUUGAACCAAAGCACAAGUUCAGGCUGUGGCCAUCGCACAAACAAAGCAUUACAGGGAAACAGAUAAUGACUGAAGGUUGAAGGAAGCUGGGGGAGGGGAAAGCUUCACAGAGAAGGGGAAAUUUAAGUUAGACAUUUAAGUAAAAGUGCCUUGUUCCUUCAUUCUUACAAAAUGAAUUCUCAAGAAUCCUAUAAAAUCACAUAUCUUUUUUUCCUGACUGAUCAGAGACUUCCAAUUUCCUAAUAUGUGAACUAUUUUUAUUGCUAUAGAAUUGACGAACUAAAUUGAUGUUUAAAAUAUAAUCAUCUUGUCUUGUAUUUGUUUGUGAAGUCUAGAGUUGGGAAGAAGUAGAUGUUCUCACUUCUCAAACAGGAAAUUUGAGUCAAUACAGACAAUUCAAUGAAAAACCAGAAGAGAAUUGGCACUUCUAUCCCUAGACAGAAAAUACUAUUUUCCCUGGACAUUUUCAUUAUCAAAACAAAACAAAGCAACAACAACAAAAAGCAAG
rnacentral:lncRNA from 1 species